rnacentral:misc_RNA from 1 species
GUUUGCAAAGGCAACACAUUAAAAUAGCAGAUUGGCGAAACAAGUCAUUUACCCAAGUGUUGUGGAUUGUUGCCAUGCUCAGACAUAUUAGAAGAUAAUCUGUGUAUACAUGAUGGGUAUUGAAGCUACAAGAUGAUAUUUUCCUUAUCUUAUUGUCUCUAAUCGCUAUCUACCAUAUGCUGGAUUGUUAUCUAGAUUUUCCUUUUGAUCUCCUGUAUAAAUCCUUGUGGUCAUCAUUACAGUGGUGCAUCCAACUCUAAGUGCUACCCAUUUCAUUGGCAAUGACUGAUGCCAAGGUCUUUGAUUGCCGAGUCUUUCCUCCACAGAGUUGAAAAGAUAUGGUGAUUGUCCAGUGUAUGCAGCAAAAAGAAGAGACCCACUUCCAUAUGGUGAAAAAGAUGCCAAAAAAAGCCUGCUGCCAUAGUUUGCAAAAGUGUUAGCUAAUUGAUAUGCCAUGGCCUGUUUACUAAGAUCAUCAUA